UACGUAGGGUGCGAGCGUUAUUCGGAAUUACUGGGCGUAAAGCGUGCGCAGGCGGGUUGGUAAGUCAGUGGUGAAAUCCCCGGGCUUAACCUGGGAAUGGCAUUUGGGACUGCCAGGCUAGAGUGUGGCAGAGGAGACUGGAAUUCCUGGUGUAGCAGUGAAAUGCGUAGAUAUCAGGAGGAAUACCGAUGGCGAAGGCAGGUCUCUGGGCUAACACUGACGCUCAUGCACGAAAGCGUGGGGAGCAAACAGG
rnacentral:rRNA from 1 species